CAUGAAGCCGGAAUUGCUAGUAAUCGCGGAUCAGCACGCCGCGGUGAAUACGUUCCCGGGCCUUGUACACACCGCCCGUCACACCAUGGGAGCCGGUAAUACCCGAAGUCAGUAGUCCAACCACGUGAGGACGCUGCCGAAGGUAGGAUUGGCGACUGGGGUGAAGUCGUAACAAGGUACC
rnacentral:rRNA from 1 species